rnacentral:rRNA from 1 species
UACGGAAGGGGCAAGCGUUGUUCGGAAUCAUUGGGCGUAAAGGGCGCGUAGGUGGUUCUGUAUGUCUACCGUGAAAGCGUACGGCUCAACCGUAUUUUGUCGGUAGAAACUCGCAGGACUUGAGGCUGGAGGGCUGGUGGAAUUCCCUGUGUAGCGGUGAAAGUGCGUAGAGAUGGGGGAGAACACUCGUGGCGAAGGCGGCCAGCUAGACCAGUUCUGACACUGAGGCGCGACAAGCGCUGGGGAGGCAAACGGG